GACGAACGCUGGCGGCGCGCCUAACACAUGCAAGUCGAGCGGGAAGCUUUUUAAGGAUUCUUCGGAUGAAUUAAAAAGUGGAGAGCGGCGGACGGGUGAGUAACGCGUGAGAAACCUGCCCUAUACAGGGGGGAUAGCCAUUGGAAACGAUGAUUAAUACCCCAUAUGACCACAGUAUCGCAUGAUACAGCGGUGAAAACUCCGGUGGUAUAGGAUGGUCUCGCGUCUGAUUAGCUAGUUGGUAAGGUAACGGCUUACCAAGACAGCGAUCAGUAGCCGACCUGAGAGGGUGAUCGGGCCACACUGGGAACUGAGACACGGUCCAGACUCCUACGGGAGGCAGCAGUGGGGAAUAUUGCACAAUGGGCGCAAGCCUGAUGCAGCAACGCCGCGUGAGCGAAGAAGGUCUUUCGGAUCGUAAAGCUCUUUUCUUAGGGUAAGAAAACGUGACGGUACCUAAGGAAUAAGCACCGGCUAAAUACGUGCCAGCAGCCGCGGUAAUACC
rnacentral:rRNA from 1 species